rnacentral:snRNA from 1 species
GGAUGUGAGGGCGAUCUGGCUGCGACAUAUGUCACCCCAUUGAUCACCAGGGUUGAUUCUAGCUGGCUAGGUGGGUGUCCCGUUCCUCCGUCACCGCUCCAUGUGCAUCCCACCCGAAGCUGCGCGCUCAGUGGAAGAGGACGAUGUCCCAGGUUCCAUGAAUAUGGAGGCUGUACUAUACA